rnacentral:ncRNA from 1 species
AUGACCAGUACAAUGAGACUGUGACCAUUCCAUCUGUUUUAUUGCAGUGAGGGAGCCUGAGAAAUGGCAUUGUAAUGUGUACACUUUAAAUCCUUUAAUGAGGAUCUAUUGGAGUAUUUACUGAAGUAUUUACUUUGAAAAAGCAGGCUGUUUUGCCUGGAUACCUCUGCUAGGAUUAAUAGAAUAGUACUCUGGUUCUGUUUUCUUGGUUUUUGGAACCGGGGCCAUGAUUAAGAGCCUGGGGCAUUCAUAUUGUGCCACUAGGGGUGAAAUUCUUGGACCGGAACCAAAGCGAAAUCAAGAAUUAAAGUCUAAGGUUCAAAGACCAACCGUAAUCAAUGCCAACUAGGCAUCUGGCUUCUUAUUCCCAUGACCCGCUGCGCAGCUUACAGGAAACCGAAGUCUUUGGGUU